rnacentral:rRNA from 1 species
GAUGAACGCUGGCGGCGUGCCUAAUACACGCAAGUCGAGCGAACGGACGAGAAGCUUGCCUCUCUGAUGUUAGCGGCGGACGGGUGAGUAACACGUGGAUAACCUACCUAUAAGACUGGGAUAACUUCGGGAAACCGGAGCUAAUACCGGAUAAUAUUUUGAACCGCAUGGUUCAAAAGUGAAAGACGGUCUUGCUGUCACUUAUAGAUGGAUCCGCGCUGCAUUAGCUAGUUGGUAAGGUAACGGCUUACCACGGCAACGAUGCAUAGCCGACCUGAGAGGGUGAUCGGCCACACUGGAACUGAGACACGGUCCAGACUCCUACGAGAGGCAGCAGUAGGGAAUCUUCCGCAAUGGGCGAAAGCCUGGCGGAGCAACGCCACGUGAGUGAUGAAGGUCUUCGGAUCGUAAAACUCUGUUAUUAGGGAAGAACAUAUGUGUAAGUAACUGUGCACAUCUUGACGGUACCUAAUCAGAAAGCCACGGCUAACUACGUG